UAGAUCUUGUUGACUGUGGUGCAAUAGAGACAGCUAAGCAUCUUGGGGAAGACAAACGUGUUCAGAUUAUGUUUUUAUAGCUCUCUUCCAACAAGAUGUAAAGGUUUCUUUUAUACAAGCCCGGCUGAAAUGUGUUUGUUUUAUAAAAAUAGAUUUUGGGGUAAAUACAAGUGCAUUUUCUUGGCAAGAAAAAGCAGAAUUUUGGUCAGCUGGUAAAUCUAAACCCAUAGUUAAUUGAUCACAGUCAUCAGGUGUAGGUAAUCAAGGAGAACCAGUCUACACUGACCUUUAUUCUUGAUGCGGGCAGCUAAUAUCAACAGUUAGUCAACCAAGCCCACUUUUAGAUUUGACACAGUGACCCCCAUGCCGCAGGUUAACCUGCUCAGUGGCAGAUUACUUUAAGAAGAUAAGAUCACAACCUUUCAACAGCCCAAACUAAUGAUCAUUGAGACAACACUGUAAACAUAAAGUCAUCUUUUCCAAACGGGAUUCCGACAGAGAUAAAAGUAUUGAGUCUGUAAUAAAGCAAGACUUCUAUAGAUGAUUAGUAGUAGUAGUAGUAGUAGUUGUAUAAUACUGUAGAAGUGGAACUGAAUAAACUCAGGUUAUUAUUAUAUCAUUUUAUCAUUAUUUAUUAUGCAUACUAUUUAUUUGUUAUUUUUUGACACUUGUUUAAUGUAUCUUUAUGUGCCUUGAAUGUUUUGUAAGGGUUACUAUUUAGAUCUUGAUGACAAAUAUUCUCUAUAUCAUCUUUGUUCAAUAGAAAAAAUAUAUAUAUGAAAAUAAAAAAAAUGAAAAAACAGAACUGCGCGCCAAGAACUUCCGGGAACUAUGUGAAGUCUGCGUAUUUGACUUCCGUUGUCGCGACUCUCCUUAGAUGGCUCUACUUAGGGCUCAGCCUCAUUACUACGUUUUCGUUUUUGACGUUUAUGUCCGUCGUCCACACGACUCCGGAAGUUUUUUUUCCGAGCGCACUAAAAACGGAGAAGAUUGGAAACGAUGUUUACGCCGUUUUAAGUUUGAAUAUUCCCGGACACCGUGGCGCAGUUUCCCGCGCAUUCGCUUCCUGGUUGGUUCCUAUCACGACGACUCAACAACCAGCGGCGAUGAAGGAAAAACACUUACCGUCAGUGACGGUUCCACCUCGUCGUUGUCGGUUCCAAGAAGUAGUAGUAGAAGAAGAAGAAGUUUGUUGUAUUCUCUUGACGUAAACAACUCUGCAGUUGGCGCCCGUUGGGUAGACGACAACCCACUUCCUGUUUACACCGGCGCGCGCAUGCCCGAAGGCUCCGACAGUUUCCUGUCAUGGUCGACGGACACGCAAGUAAAGACUAAAUUGUCUAAAUGACUUGAGAGUGUCAAUCUGGGUGUCCCUGCCUCCCUGCCCUCUGCUACACCUCCCCCCUCUAGUAUAGUAAGUAGGCACACACACACACACACACACACACACACACACACACACACACACACACACACACACACAUGUAUACUAACCUGUCAUGGCGGAUGUGUGCGACUGUAAAUGGCAGAAUCAAUGGUGUGUGUUGGUGGCCUUUUACUCCCGACCGCUCUGUGUGCAGCUCUUAAGCCAGAGCAGGAGACAGAUCUCAUCUGACAGACCACACACUGCAACAAUGCUCUUCAGGACUGUCACUCCUCCCAACGUCGUACGAGCUUGUGUGAGCGUGUUUCUUUAAUCAGGGUUAAAGGUCAGAUUAUCUGUGUGUGUGUGUGUGUGUGUGUGUGUGUGUGUGUGUGUGUGUGUGUGUGUGUGUGUGUGUGUGUGUGUGUGUGUGUGUGUGUGUGUGUGUGUGUGUGUGUGUGUGUGUGUGUGUGUGUGUGUGUGAGAGAAAAUACUUGAGAUACUUACAUGUGUGGAUGUGUUUGUUAUGAUGCUUAUAAGGAGGAUGAGAGAGGAAUGUUCCCCUCUUGCUGGAGGAUGAGAUGAAUGACAUUUUAAUUGAUUUAGCAUGGAGGCUCAAAGGCGAGAUCAUACACAAUUUAUUGCAGUGUGCGUGUGUGUGUGUGUGUGUGUGUGUGUGUUUCCUCCUAUAUUCACCGCAUUCACACAGCAGCCAUUUUCCCUUAUAUAAACAUAUAGGAAUCAGACAAAUCAGUGUUUGUUUUUACAAAAAAAAGCGAAAGCUCCAUCAGUUUUUUGCCUCUCAGU
ensembl:lncRNA